rnacentral:rRNA from 1 species
UCGAACGGUAAGGUCUUCUUUCGGAAGAUACACGAAGUGGCGCACGGGUGCGUAACGCGUAUGCAACCUACCCAUUAGAGGGGGAUAGUCGCGGGAAACUGCGAAUAAUACCCCAUGAGUUCCUAAAGUCGCAUGGCUUAAGGAAGAAAACUCUGGUGCUGAUGGAUGGGCAUGCGUGACAUUAGCUAGUUGGUGAGGUAACGGCUCACCAAGGCGACGAUGUCUAGCUGGUCUGAGAGGAUGAUCAGCCACACGGGCACUGAGACACGGGCCCGACUCCUACGGGAGGCAGCAGUAAGGAAUAUUGGUCAAUGGGGGCAACCCUGAACCAGCCAUGCCGCGUGGAGGAAGACGGUUCUCUGAAUUGUAAACUUCUUUUAUGAGAGAAUAAUAUAGAGCUAUACGCUCUUAUGUAGGUACCUCAUGAAUAAGCACCGGCUAACUACGUGCCAGCAGCCGCGGUAACACGUAGGGUGCAAGCGUUGUCCGGAUUUAUUGGGUUUAAAGGGUGCGCAGGCGGCUUAUUAAGUUAGUGGUGAAAUCGUCUCGCUUAACGAGAUACCCGCCAUUGAUACUGGUAAGCUUGAGUGUGUCUGAGGAAGCUGGAAUGCGUAGUGUAGCGGUGAAAUGCAUAGAUAUUACGCAGAACACCAAUUGCGAAGGCAGGCUUCUAGGGCAUAACUGACGCUGAGGCACGAAAGCGUGGGGAGCGAACGGGAUUAGAUAC